CUAGGAAUACAACGUUGAUUGGAGAAGAAGAACAUGAUCAACGGUGUCAAAGGCAGCAGAGAGCUCAAGAAGAAUUAGUAUGGAGUAGUGCCUUUUGGAUUUAGCUGCGAUUAGAUCAUUAGUGACUUUAAUAAUGGCAGUCUCAGUAGAGUGGAGAGGGCGGAAGCCAGAUUGAAGAGGGUCAAGGAGAGAGUUGGAAUUGAGGAAACAAGUCAGAUGGGUAAAGACCAGUCUUUCCAGAAGUUUUGAGGAAAAAGGGAACAGGGAUAUGGGACGAUAGUUAGAAGGGGAGGAUGGGUCGAGACAUGGUUUUUUCUUUUCAAGAUAGGUACUACAGUGGCAAGUUUAAGGUCAGCAGGGACAGUGCCAGAAGAGAGAGAGCAGUUGAAGAUGUGUGUUAAGCCCACACUGACUGACUGACACACUCACUGACUGACACACUCACUGACUGACACACUCACUGACUGACACACUCACUGACUGACUGACACACUCACUGACUGACUGACACACUCACUGACUG